rnacentral:rRNA from 1 species
AGUAACGCGUAUCCAACCUGCCCAUCACUUGGGGAUAACCUUGCGAAAGUAAGACUAAUACCCCAAUGACGUCUCUAGAAGACAUCUGAAAGAGAUUAAAGAUUUAUCGGUGAUGGAUGGGGAUGCGUCUGAUUAGCUUGUUGGCGGGGUAACGGCCCACCAAGGCAACGAUCAGUAGGGGUUCUGAGAGGAAGGUCCCCCACAUUGGAACUGAGACACGGUCCAAACUCCUACGGGAGGCAGCAGUGAGGAAUAUUGGUCAAUGGACGAGAGUCUGAACCAGCCAAGUAGCGUGCAGGAUGACGGCCCUAUGGGUUGUAAACUGCUUUUAUAAGGGAAUAAAGUGAGUCUCGUGAGACUUUUUGCAUGUACCUUAUGAAUAAGGACCGGCUAAUUCCGUGCCAGCAGCCGCGGUAAUACGGAAGGUCCGGGCGUUAUCCGGAUUUAUUGGGUUUAAAGGGAGCGUAGGCCGGAGAUUAAGCGUGUUGUGAAAUGUAGACGCUCAACGUCUGCACUGCAGCGCGAACUGGUUUCCUUGAGUACGCACAAAGUGGGCGGAAUUCGUGGUGUAGCGGUGAAAUGCUUAGAUAUCACGAAGAACUCCGAUUGCGAAGGCAGCUCACUGGAGCGCAACUGACGCUGAAGCUCGAAAGUGCGGGUAUCGAACAGGAUUAGAUACCCUGGUAGUCCGCACGGUAAACGAUGGGAUGCCCGCUGUUGGUCUGAAUAGGUCAGCGGCCAAGCGAAAGCAUUAAGCAUCCCACCUGGGGGGUACGCCGGCAACGGUGAAACUCA